UGGGGAAUAUUGGACAAUGGGCGAAAGCCUGAUCCAGCAAUACCGCGUGUGUGAAGAAGGCCUUCGGGUUGUAAAGCACUUUAAGUUGGGAAGAAAAAACUUCAAUUAACACUUGAAGUCUUGACGGUACCGACAGAAUAAGCACCGGCUAACUCUGUGCCAGCAGCCGCGGUAAUACAGAGGGUGCUAGCGUUAAUCGGAUUUACUGGGCGUAAAGCGUGCGUAGGCGGUUUGAUAAGUCGAUUGUGAAAGCCCUGGGCUCAACCUAGGAAUUGCGGUCGAUACUGUCAGACUAGAAAACGGUAGAGGGUGGCGGAAUUCCGGGUGUAGCGGUGAAAUGCGUAGAUAUCCGGAGGAACACCGAUGGCGAAGGCAACCACCUGGGCCUGUACUGACGCUGAGACACGAAAGCGUGGGGAGCAAACA
rnacentral:rRNA from 1 species